rnacentral:pre_miRNA from 1 species
UAGUUUUGUCCUAUGUCAAACUUAUCUGAUUUUGACAAAGUUUAUAGAAAAGUAUAUUAACAUCUAUAAUACCAAAUAAAAUGCCCUAACAAGUUCCAUGGUGGAUUUAACGAAACUGAUUUGAUGCUGCAGAUGUUGGUUCAUUUUUUCUGUAAACUUGGUCAAAACUAGAGAAGUUUGACUUGACAAAACUAA